AAACUUUUUCGGAAUGUUGUUGCGCUGUGCGAUUUCGGUGAUGAAGGCAGUCU
rnacentral:sRNA from 1 species